rnacentral:rRNA from 1 species
UACGGAGGGUGCAAGCGUUAUCCGGAUUCACUGGGUUUAAAGGGAGCGUAGGUGGGUUGGUAAGUCAGUGGUGAAAUCCCCGAGCUUAACUUGGGAACUGCCAUUGAUACUAUCAGUCUUGAAUACUGUGGAGGUUAGCGGAAUAUGUCAUGUAGCGGUGAAAUGCUUAGAUAUGACAUAGAACACCAAUUGCGAAGGCAGCUGGCUACACAAUUAUUGACACUGAGGCUCGAAAGCGUGGGAUCAAACAGG